CAUGCUUUCUUCAGGACUAACCUACAUUCCUUGCCUGCAUUUCCUUGAACCUAAAAUACAGUUACAGAAGAAAAAUUGCCAUAUAUUUUUGCUCUUUUUUAUUGCAUUCUCUGUUAUUUCAGCCUCAUUCAUCUCUGAAAUUUGGUGAAGCAAUUUUGGAUUCCACAGAUUUUUGUGGAUCAUUAUGAGAGGACUUGUGUCUCUCUGACGUCUUUAAUCAUUUCGUACACUUCAAGCAUGUUUUUCCUUCGCUCUGGCAAGUGUUCAACACAAUUACAAGCAAUUCUAAAGAGCUGGAAAAUCUCAUAAUCAUGUCCUUUCCCUAUCAAACACGUAUCAAUAGCAUCAUACAGACAAGCAGAGCUGGUAGAGAUAUUACUUGUAUAUUCCUCCAAGCUCCUUUCAGAACUGUUUGACGAAGUAAGCUGUUUACCUUUGAU
rnacentral:misc_RNA from 1 species